AUGGCUGUCGUCAGCUYGUGUUGUGAAAUGUUGGGUUAAGUCCCGCAACGAGCGCAACCCUUAUCCUUUGUUGCCAGCGGUYCGGCCGGGAACUCAAAGGAGACUGCCAGUGAUAAACUGGAGGAAGGUGGGGAUGACGUCAAGUCAUCAUGGCCCUUACGAGUAGGGCUACACACGUGCUACAAUGGCGCAUACAAAGAGAAGCGACCUCGCGAGAGCAAGCGGACCUCAUAAAGUGCGUCGUAGUCCGGAUUGGAGUCUGCAACUCGACUCCAUGAAGUCGGAAUCGCUAGUAAUCGUAGAUCAGAAUGCCACGGYGAAUACGUU
rnacentral:rRNA from 1 species